AGCGCAGAGCUGGGACGGACACGGACAGAGCGGGGACGGAGCGGAGCGGAGCGGGGGCGCAGCGGGGACAG
rnacentral:miRNA from 1 species